UGGUUGGGUUUGUUACAUCUUUGCUUCCAGGUUUCCAUCCCCAUGCUGACUAGGUGUUAAUACCCUUCAAGCCGAAUGUCCGUUGCAACAUCUAUAUGCCUGCAAGAUGAAUCAUGAAAAUCAAAAAUCACCCAAGUGAACAUGGGCCGUUGUAAAUAGUUGCGUCAGCCUCGAUGUGACUGUCCUACUUCAGUAAGACCUACUGCAAGAAGAAACUAUGGAUCUGAUUAACACGAUCUGAGGCAGAUGUGUAAAGAACAAACAGAUCAGCCAAUAUGUGGUGGUAACACCUGUACCACUGGGAUAUGCUGGGGUCUUCAGCGCAUGAAGGCUCAGUGAUGAUGCUUCCCAGUAUCCCAGUAUCCAUUUUUUUGAAGCAACUUGCUUAAU
rnacentral:lncRNA from 1 species